UGUAGGAGCUGCCGAAGGCUGCGAUCUUUUGAUCUUGAUCUUUAAAAACAAAAUCAAAAGAUCGCAGCCUUCGGCAGCUCCUGCA
rnacentral:misc_RNA from 1 species